UACGUAGGCAGCGAGCGUUGUUCGGAAUUACUGGGCGUAAAGAGUGUGUAGGCGGUGCUCUAAGUUCGGUGUGAAAUCUCCCGGCUUAACUGGGAGGCGCGCCGGAAACUGGAAUGCUCGAACGUGGGAGAGGAAAGCGGAAUUCCUGGUGUAGCGGUGAAAUGCGUAGAUAUCAGGAGGAACACCUGCGGUGUAGACGGCUUUCUGGACCAUUGUUGACGCUGAGACACGAAAGCGUGGGUAGCAAACAGG
rnacentral:rRNA from 1 species